rnacentral:rRNA from 1 species
UACAGAGGGUGCAAGCGUUAAUCGGAAUUACUGGGCGUAAAGCGUGCGUAGGCGGUUGCGUAAGUCAGAUGUGAAAGCCCCCGGCUCAACUGGGGAGGGUCAUUCGAUACUGUCCGACUCGAAGGCAGGAGAGGGAAGCGGAAUUCCCGGUGUAGUGGUGAAAUGCGUAGAUAUCGGGAGGAACACCAGUGGCGAAGGCGACUUCCUGGCCUGUUCUUGACGCUGAUGCGCGAAAGCUAGGGGAGCAAACGGG